AGAGUUUGAUCCGUGGCGUCAGGACGAACGCUGGCGGCGUGCUUAACACAUGCAAGUCGAACGGAAAGGCCGUCUUUCGGGGGUACUCGGAGUGGCGUAACGGGUGAGUAACACGUGAGUAACCUGCCCUUGACUUUGGGGAUAACUUCAGGAAACUGGGGCUAAUACCGGAUAGGAGCUCCUGCUGCAUGGUGGGGGUUGGAAAGUUUCGGCGGUUGGGGAUGGACUCGCGGCUUAUCAGCUUGUUGGUGGGGGUAGUGGCUUACCAAGGCUUUGACGGGUAGCCGGCCUGAGAGGGUGACCGGCCACAUUGGGACUGAGAUACGGCCCAGACUCCUACGGGAGGCAGCAGUGGGGAAUAUUGCACAAUGGGUGGAAGCCUGAUGCAGCAACGCCGUGUGCGGGAUGACGGCCUUCGGGUUGUAAACCGCUUUCGCUCAUGACGAAGCUUUGUGUAACGGUAGUGGGUAAAGAAGCACCGGCUAACUACGUG
rnacentral:rRNA from 1 species